ACAGUGAACGUAGACUCUAGGCGAAUGACGAUCCGUAUCAGUCUCCGUUGAACGUAGACUUUGCACUUCUCUAGAGAUCGUCUGCGAAUGCGAAUUCCCCAAAUGUGGGAAUCUCGACUACAUAAUUUAUGGUAGUGGGGGACUGCGUUCGCGCUCUCCCCUG